ACACGACUUGGACUGUUUUUCGACCACAAACAUUUGCCCAGUCUUUUUGGGCCUUUCUGCCUUCUCCUGCCUACCUACCCAUGGGUGACCCUUGCUUGUCUCAUGGACCAGCUUUCUGCCUCCAGAUGAUUCAGCUUGUCAUUUGCUGCUGUUCUCUGUCUGGUGCAUUACAAGCAGAGGAAAUAUGAAACGGCACCACAAUGGUCCCUCUGAUAAUUAAGGCAGCUGAGAGCUUCACUAACUCAAUACAGAUCCAAAAGGAAAUGUCAUAGUUUCUGGUCCUCAGUCCGUCCUCUGGUUCCAACUCCUCUUCCUCCUCAUCUCUCAAGGUGCAUUCAAACCGAACGCGAACAAGACAAUUGGA